AGGAACUUGCCCAAAGCUGCACCGUUCUAAACUGGGAGACAAGACUCGAGCUCUUGUCUGUCUUCCAUCUGAGUCCACGUGGUCAUGUUCUUGGCAGAACUUUCUCCCUGUCCCCAUGGCACAUUCCUGUACGCGUGGUUCUUGACAGAUAGUUGACGAAGUCUCCCAUGCCUAGCGUUUCCCAUUCCUGGUGAAUAUAAAUAGCAGUUCUACGCACAGAUAAGUCAAAGCCUUUCUCCCUCAGAAGCUCUGGACUGUGUUCUGUGACUUUCCACACAGGGUCUGCAGGAUGCCAGGCAGCCUGAACUUAUAGACAAUAUGACCCAAGACGGUCUUUCUUCUCGGGGGCAAAGAGGCUUGUGGCCUGGAAACUAUCCAUGGGCCAAAAUGGUGACUCUGACAGUGAGGACUUCAGGCCCUGGCAGAGCUGUCAUGGGAGGAACAAAACCAGGACAAGAACAGGAUUUGGAUCCAGAUACUGACACACACAAAGAUGGAAGCUGAAGCAAUCACAGAAGGCCAACUUUGAUGUAACAGUAGACCCAUUAGGGGCCAUUCUUCUCCAGAUCUUAGCGAAUUCUGAGCCCACACAGUGUUACAAUAAUAAAAAAAAAAUUAUCAUCUUCUUUCAUUUAUGGGAGCAGAGCUGAAGAUCUCCCAGUUUUGUAAAAUAUACCCUAGAGGGGCCUAUAAGGUGGACCAGGGCCCUGCUCAUCCAUACUUACUCACCACGGAUGUUCUCAAAUAGCAAGAAAACAGUCAUUCAAAACAGUCUUUCAAGGUCCCAGUUCCCAAGCCCCCAAAAGGGAGAUUCCCAACCUGUCAGUCUGAAAGGGGAAAACUCCAGCCCACACC